CUUUUACGCGAGAAAGGGGGACCACCCUCUAAGCCUAAGUAUUCCUCAAUGACCGAUAGCGGACAAGUACCGUGAGGGAAAGGUGAAAAGAACCCCAAUCGGGGAGUGCAAUAGAGAACCUGAGAUCCGAUGCGAACAAUCAGUCGAAGGAGCGGAGCGCGGGCGCACUCACUCUAACGGCGUACCUUUCGCAUGAUGGGUCAGCGAGGAAAUGG
rnacentral:ncRNA from 1 species